rnacentral:rRNA from 1 species
AGGACGAACGCUGGCGGCGUGCUUAACACAUGCAAGUCGAGCGGACAUCUUCGGAUGUUAGCGGCGAACGGGUGAGUAACACGUGGGCAACCUGCCCCUAGCUCGUGGGAUAACUCCGGGAAACCGGGGCUAAUACUGGAUAUGACCGAUCCAUGCAUGUGGGUUGGUGGAAAGUUUUUCGGCUAGGGAUGGGCCCGCGGCCUAUCAGCUUGUUGGUGGGGUGAUGGCCUACCAAGGCGACGACGGGUA